AGGUCCUUUACAAAGCAGCAAUACACCGAUAAUUGCUUUCUGAUAAAGUGCAUUCCAUUUGUACUCGGAAUUAGGAUUUUGCGAGGUCAAAGUGGGAAACAUGCCCCCUGACCUCGGAUUUCCGAGCUCGGAACCCAGACAACCUGGCAGUACCCCGAGCUAAUAAUCCAACAUGGCUGCUCUGUGCAUCAACAGUAAUGAAAGCUGUAGUAACGUACAGUUAUUAGCACUUCUUACACACACUCAC